rnacentral:rRNA from 1 species
GACGAACGCUGGCGGCGUGCUUAACACAUGCAAGUCGAACGGAAAGGCCCCUUCUGGGGUACUCGAGUGGCGCACGGGUGAGUAACACGUGAGUAACUUGCCCUUGACUUCGGGAUAACUUCAGGAAACUGGGGCUAAUACCGGAUAGGAAUCCUUGCUGCAUGGUGGGGGUUGGUAAGCUUCGGCGGUUUUGGAUGGACUCGCGGCUUAUCAGCUUGUUGGUGGGGUAGUGGCUUACCAAGGCUUUGAUGGGUAGCCGGCCUGAGAGGGCGACCGGCCACAUUGGGACUGAGAGGCGGCCCAGACUCCGACGGGGGGCAGCAGUGGGGAAGAUUGCACAAUGGGCGGAAGCCUGAUGCAGCAACGCCGCGGGCGGGAUGACGGCCUUCGGGUUGGAAACCGCUUUCAGCAGGGGCGAAGCUUGUGGUGACGGUACCUGCAGAAGAAGCACCGGCUAACUACGUG